GCCUGGGUAGCUCAGUGGUUGAGCAUCUGCCUUUGGCUCAGGUCGUGGCCCAGGGUCCUGGGAUCAAGUCCCACAUCAGGCU
rnacentral:tRNA from 1 species